UUAUAUUCCAUGUUUGUGUGAGUAUCAUGUAUAACUAUAAUGCACUAAUACAAAUUAAAACACACACACACACACACACACACACACACACACACACACUGCUCUGAAGGCUCCAAAUUAAGCUGAAGAGACAGCAUGGUCAUUCUCAGUGUCCAGGGGCUUGGUUGACAAUGUCCUACCACCUACAGGCCUGUACCCAAUGCAGCCAGUGGCCCUGUCAACAUACACAUUACAAGGAAUUCUAAGGUGCACAGGGAAGAAAGAUGAGACCACUACUCCAAAGUUUUGAAAUUCAAUCUCCUGCACUGUUUAAGGGUGGAAGAAAGUGAAAGACAGAGAUAGACAGAGGUCAGCCUCUUAAUCAAAAGCCAGAACUUCUCAUCCCCAGAAACUCAGAAACAGGGAGAAGUGGAAGAAAUAUGAAGUCAGAUGCUGAGCCAGUGAGUGCCAGAACAAUUAAAUUUAAAUUUCUACCUACCAGGAAAUGUGAAACCCUUCCUUAAAAAAAUAAUAAUGUCAUCUUCAGUUUCUCUGUUGCUUCCACGUACAGGGAAAUAGCAAAAAUUUAAGUUUCUAUCUACAAAAUGUGAAACGCUUCUCUCAUAAUGUCACCUUCAGUUUCACUGUUGCUUGCACUCACGGGGAAACAGCAAAAAAUAUAAUCAGAAAAAAAAAAACACAAAAUACAACAGGUCCAAUGAAUGUCUGCUUGAUAGAGCUAGAAAAGGCUUGCACAAAUUGUAUAGUUAAGAUAUUGAAGAAAAUAAAGAGUUGGAACAAUUGUUUAAGGUGAAGUGAUUAAAUGAAAAUUUAAAUGCACAAAAAGGACAACAUAAAAUUUUAUGAAAAAAUGCUAUGAUCUCUAAAAAUAAGAAUUUCUUUAAUGUAAGAGGAUAUCAGACAAAGUAAAACAGUAUUAAUAAACUUAAGCACAUAUCAGUAUAAAUUGUCUCAACUGAAUCACAGAGAGAAAAAAAUUAACAAAACUAGGUCAGAGACAAGUGAAACUCAAUCAAAUGGUGUGAAAAACAUUUCAUUGAAUUCCCAAAGGAAGAUGAGAAGAUGAAUAGAAAGCAGAUUUUAAAUAAAAC
rnacentral:lncRNA from 1 species